AGUUCUGAGCUUGGCAACAGCAUACUAAAAUUGGAACAAUUGGAGAUUAGCAUGGCACCUGGGCAAGGAUGGCACACACAUUUGUAAAGAAUUUCAUAUUUUU
ensembl:snRNA U6 U6 spliceosomal RNA